AUAAACAAAACUAGGGGCACAGAAAGGAGAUGAAGACAUUGCCCCUAUGUUUUAGAUAUUAGCUUCAUAGAGAGAAUCCAUGGACUCAGAUUAAAAUCCUGUGAUGUGAUGAGGAAAUUAAGCCUUACAGCGCACCCUUUCACUGUGCCAUGAUGAGCAGAAAGAAGUAGCAGACUCCUAUUUUGCCUAGCUGAGUUUUAUUCAAGGAGAGGAACAAGUCACAGAUGAAGCCAUGCAGCUCUUCAUUGUGGGUGAUCAGGGGAACUGGACUGUGAGACACCAACCACAAAGGGUAUCAUCACAGGGCUUCAGUCCUACCGUCUGGCCAAGAGAAGAAGAUCAAGAGAGCUGCAGCUUCCAAUAAUAUUGUGGUCUUCAUAUCAGUAAGUGCAGCAUCAUCCAGAGGCUCCAGUGAAGAGCAACCCUUGAAGUGCACCAUGCUUACAACUGCCCUGAAGUCUAAGGAAAGGAAGAAUGUUUGUAUUUCAUUUUGAUGAGAUAAUGGUAGUGUGACCAUCCACAUACAAUGUUUCAGGUAAGAUUUGCUUACCUUCUAGGAGAAAGCUCCCACAAAAUCACCAUCAGCUGAACCCUGAGUCAAGGAAACGUACAAGAG
ensembl:lncRNA